GACGAACGCUGGCGGCGCGCUUAACACAUGCAAGUCGAACGGAAAGGCCUGCUUUCCCUUGUGGAUUGCGGGUACUCGAGUGGCGAACGGGUGAGUAACACGUGAGUGAUCUGCCCCCAACUUGGGUAUAAGCCUGGGAAACUGGGUCUAAUUCCCGAUAGGACCGCAGGGUGGUGCCUGUGGUGGCAAACGAUUUUCUAGUGGUUGGGGAUGAGCUCGCGGCCUAUCAGCUUGUUGGUGGGGUAAUGGCCUACCAAGGCGGCGACGGGUAGCCGGCCUGAGAGGGUGGACGGCCACAUUGGGACUGAGAUACGGCCCAGACUCGUACGGGAGGCAGCAGUGGGGAAUAUUGCACAGUGAGCGGAAGCCUGAUGCAGCGACGCCGCGUGGGGGAUGACGGGCUUCGGGUUGUAAACUGCUUGCGACUGCGAGGAAGCCACUUGGUUGGAAGGGUGGUGACGGUAGUGGUAGAAGAAGCACCGGCUAACUACGUG
rnacentral:rRNA from 1 species